rnacentral:misc_RNA from 1 species
UCUUUCUCUAAAACUGAUUGAAGGACCUGAUCCAAAUUAUAAAGAUAUCUGUUUUUCUGGUGCAGGAAGUGACAUCUCACAACUCUCGAAAUCCUUUCCACCUGUCGACAUGGUAUUCAGCAAUGGAAAGAAACUGUCUCUGUCCCCUGAAAACUACCUGUUCCGGCACUCAAAGGUGCGUGGUGCUUAUUGUCUGGGGAUAUUUCAGAAUGGGAAGGAUGCAACAACUCUUCUUGGAGGAAUUAUUGUCCGCAACACACUUGUAACGUAUGAUCGUCAACAUGAAAUGGUUGGUUUCUGGAAAACCAAUUGUUCUGAUUUAUGGAACAGACUCAAUUUAUCUCCUCCACCUCCAUCGCCCUCAGGCUUGGUUAACACAAACUCCACUGGAAGUAUGUAUCCUACAUUGGUUCCUACUGGAUCUCCUGGG